GGCCGGAUAGCUUAACCGGUAGAGCUUCAGCGCGUAACCGAAUGGUCCGGGUUCGAGUCCCGGUCUUGGCUG
rnacentral:tRNA from 1 species